UCUAGUUGUUUACUUUGUGGUCGGUGGCGUGGGGAACUGUGGACGUUGAGCAGCCAGAAGAUAGGCGGGCGAUCCUUUUAAAGCUCUUUUUUCCUUCAGGGAGAGAGUUGUGUGGCCUCUUUCAGAGCCUUUCCUUGGCCAGUGUCUGCCCAAAGUACCGGGGCCUGACAGAGCAAGUAAUCUAAAAAAAUGAAGCCUCAAGAAAGAUUUAUUAUGAAAAAAAUCUCCAAGAGAAGAGAAGAUAUGAAAAAAAAGAUAUCUGAAGAAACAGAACAUAUUGCAGAUGAUGAAACUGCCGACCAGAAUCUGCUAAAAGGUAAUUGCUCC